UCAGAUUAGCUAGUUGGUGAGGUAAAUGCUCACCAAGGCGAUGAUCUGUAGCUGGUCUGAGAGGAUGACCAGCCACACUGGAACUGAGACACGGUCCAGACUCCUACGGGAGGCAGCAGUGGGGAAUUUUGGACAAUGGGCGCAAGCCUGAUCCAGCAAUGCCGCGUGCAGGAUGAAGGCCUUCGGGUUGUAAACUGCUUUUGUACGGAACGAAACGGCUCUUUCUAAUAAAGAGGGCUAAUGACGGUACCGUAAGAAUAAGCACCGGCUAACUACGUGCCAGCAGCCGCGGUAAUACGUAGGGUGCGAGCGUUAAUCGGAAUUACUGGGCGUAAAGCGUGCGCAGGCGGUUAUAUAAGACAGAUGUGAAAUCCCCGGGCUCAACCUGGGACCUGCAUUUGUGACUGUAUAGCUAGAGUACGGUAGAGGGGGAUGGAAUUCCGCGUGUAGCAGUGAAAUGCGUAGAUAUGCGGAGGAACACCGAUGGCCGAAGGCAAUCCCCCUGGACCUGUACUGACGCUCAUGCACGAAAAGCGUGGGGAGCAAA
rnacentral:rRNA from 1 species